AAGUCGAGCGAGCGGACGAGAAGCUUGCUUCUCUGAUGUUAGCGGCGGACGGGUGAGUAACACGUGGAUAACCUACCUAUAAGACUGGGAUAACUUCGGGAAACCGGAGCUAAUACCGGAUAAUAUUUUGAACCGCAUGGUUCAAAAGUGAAAGACGGUCUUGCUGUCACUUAUAGAUGGAUCCGCGCUGCAUUAGCUAGUUGGUAAGGUAACGGCUUACCAAGGCAACGACGCAUAGCCGACCUGAGAGGGUGAUCGGCCACACUGGAACUGAGACACGGUCCAGACUCCUACGGGAGGCAGCAGUAGGGAAUCUUCCGCAAUGGGCGAAAGCCUGACGGAGCAACGCCGCGUGAGUGAUGAAGGUCUUCGGAUCGUAAAACUCUGUUAUUAGGGAAGAACAUAUGUGUAAGUAACUGUGCACAUCUUGACGGUACCUAAUCAGAAAGCCACGGCUAACUACGUGCCAGCAGCCGCGGUAAUACGUAGGUGGCAAGCGUUAUCCGGAAUUAUUGGGCGUAAAGCGCGCGUAGGCGGUUUUUUAAGUCUGAAGUUAAAGGCAUUGGCUCAACCAAUGUACGCUUUGGAAACUGGAGAACUUGAGUGCAGAAGGGGAGAGUGGAAUUCCAUGUGUAGCGGUGAAAUGCGUAGAUAUAUGGAGGAACACCGGUGGCGAAAGCGGCUCUCUGGUCUGUAACUGACGCUGAGGCUCGA
rnacentral:rRNA from 1 species